CUGUCUUUACGACAGGCCGUAUUCCACGCCUCCAACAUGGCGUCCCCCAUUUAAGAAGCGGCAGUAGUUUCUACUCAGGUGGCCAGGGGCAGUGCUGAGCUUGGGCUGUUGUGUGUGUAGCCUGAAGUGCUGAAAGCUGUAGUUAAAGUUCGUUUCUAGUCACGGUUCCAGGAACUCUCCCUUCUUUCAGGGUCCGGAGUUGCCGGUUCCUUCUAGUUCCUGCAAGUUCUUCCUCUGCCCCUGGUUUGUUCCCUGCGCCACCUCCGGACACCCCCCAAAUCCCUGACACUCCCAGACUCAAAUUAUGAGCCUUCGGCGGCUGCUGUUGCGCUUACCCCGUUAUCUCGGGGUCUCGGGUUCCCCGCGACGCCUGUGGUGGUCCCCGUUCCUCGAUACCAUCUCUUCGGUGGGCUCCUGGCGUGGUCAGUCCUCCAGGUCCCCGGCCCACUGGAACCAAGUAGUGUCAGAGGCGGAGAAGAUCGUGGGCUAUCCCACGUCCUUCAUGAGCCUCCGCUGCCUGCUCAGCGACGAACUCAGCAACAUCGCUAUGCAGGUGCGGAAGUUGGUGGGGACUCAACACCCUCUGCUUACCACGGCCAGGGGGCUUGUACAUGAGAGCCGGCAUAACCUCCAGUUGAGGGGCUUGGUGGUGUUACUUAUUUCUAAAGCAGCUGGGCCCAGCAGCAUGAAUGCAUCAUGUCAGAACUAUGAUAUGGUCAGUGGGAUCUAUUCAUGUCAAAGAAGUUUGGCAGAGAUCACAGAACUUAUCCACACUGCUCUCCUCGUACAUCGUGGGAUAGUAAAUUUAAGUGAAUUGCAAUCCUCUGAUGGACCACUGAAAGACAUGCAAUUUGGAAAUAAAAUAGCUAUCCUGAGUGGAGACUUUCUUCUAGCAAAUGCCUGCAACGGACUAGCUCUGCUACAGAACACCAAGGUUGUGGAACUUUUAGCAAGUGCUCUUAUGGACUUGGUGCAGGGAGUAUACCAUGAAAAUUCUACUUCAGCAAAGGAAAAUCAUAUCACAGAAGAUAUUGGAAUAUCAACUUGGAAGGAACAGACUUUUCUCUCCCAUGGUGCCUUAUUAGCAAAGAGCUGCCAGGCUGCAAUGGAAUUAGCAAAGCAUGAUGCUGACGUUCAGGAUAUGGCAUUUCAGUAUGGGAAGCACAUGGCCAUGAGUCAUAAGAUAAAUUCUGACCUCCAGCCUUUUAUUAAGGAAAAGACCAGUGACUCCAUAACUUUUAAUCUCAACUCAGCCCCUGUGGUCUUACAUCAGGAGUUUCUUGGAAGAGACUUGUGGAUUAAGCAGAUCAGAGAGGCUCAAGAGAAGGGAAGAUUAGACUAUGCUAAGGGCAAUAAUCGGACCGGAGGGAUGGAAAUAUGAAUGCAAUGGCCAAGCCUCCAAGGAACAGCAAAAUUACAUUAGGCGCAUUCUUUAGAAAUAAAAGGGAAGGCACGUUCCUACAGUGACAGAGGUUUUGCAAGAAUGCUUGGACUUGGGCUGUAGCAGAGGAAGCCACCUUGUCAGCAGAACAUUCACUCUGGGACCCAGUACUUCUGGGAUGCUAGGACUGAGACCAGAACACGUGGAUGAAGGGGAGCCCGGUGACAGGAGUAAAUCCAGACUUUCACACCAGCUCUGCAGGACUCACAGAUACUCCAGGGUGACUUUUGCUCUGUAGGCCAUGGUGACGACUCAGGUUUUAGUCUGUGGGAGGGAGAAAGAGCUACAAAAGCAAUAGAUGCUCAAUAACGGGGAAAAAAAUAAAAUCCAACAUGACACAAAGGUAUCAUGUGAAAAAGUAAACAUCCCUCUCCUCCCUACCAUCCUCUACCUCAGCGGAAACCACUGUUACCCCUGUGUCUUCCAGGACUUUUCUAUUUACCCUGAAAUAUAUGUACGUGUUUUUCUUUUUCUUACAAAAAUUGGAUUACGUUAUGUUAUGUAGUAGGGGCACAGGGAUACAAGAGCACCUGGCUCCGGGGGGUCCCAAACAGACCAGGUCCGGCCACUCGCUGCUGACAAAAUUCAAAGGCAGAGAAACUAGCAGUGGUGAAACAAGAGGAAUUUAUUUCUGUGAGGCCAACGCCGGGAAGACAGUGGACUGCAACCCAAAGACCGUCUCCAACGUGCUGAAAAUACUUCCAGGUUUACAGAAGGAAAAUGUGGGGCAAAGGUGUGCGGGUACUGUAGGCAGGAAGUGAAGGUCAAAUCGAUCAUUGUCCUGGAGCAAUCACGGGUGGGGUCUUGUAGGCUCAGGGCAGCCCUUAUUGCUUCAGGCGAUAAUUUCAGUUCCCAUCUGGGGAUGCUUUGCCCUCAGGGUCUGCUACCUGAGCCGGAGACAAACUGGGAAGAACCCAGCUGGAAAGUCUCCGGUCAAAAUGGAGGCAGGCGAAGUCCUCUUUCAAAUAGAUCUCUAAUUUUCUUCUACUCAAUAAAUAUGGCAAAGACAUUCUUCUGUACCCAUAAGAAAGAGUACUUUUCCUCUUUCUAAAGCCUACAGAGUAUGCCAUAGCAUGUGUCAUUCAUUUAGCAACUUUUCAAAUUCUCUCCCAUUUUCUUGCUAACAUGAAUGAUCCUGCAAUGAACAUCCUUGUAAAUGUAGCUUUGGUUGAGUGUUUCCCCAGGGAAAGUGGAAUCACUGGAUCUCGAGUUCAUUUCUAUGAGGUGUUUCAUUGUACAGAAAAAUAUUUUAGGUCAAAUAAGACAAAAAAAAAAAAAGCAUGUGUGUAUACCAUUUCAUUUAAAGAAUCUUUUGACCCACAGCAUAAAAUAAUUUCUUAAAACUUGGCUGGUUACUAGAGUAGUAUGUCUCCUUUUUCUUCUUUUUUUAAUGGGUUCUGAUUGGCUGGAAAACCAGCCUCGCCUAGUUCCUUGCUUCCUGCCUGUUGCUGCAUCUGUAUGAUCAGUGUGGGGACUCUUGACUGCAAGCCCUUGGGCAGCCCUCUGGGCGCGGGGGCCCUGGUGGCUGCAACGCCUCCAGCCAGCACUCUGGGCUGAGAAUGAGCUAUAGUUCGGAUUGGCAUUUGUUUUCUCAAGGGCUUGAAACCGAGAGUGGGAUCGCAGCAAUUUUCACUCUCCCUAACAUUUCUUCUCGCAGAAUCCUAUUGUGCAAGCCAGAUAUUCAACUAAAAUCAGAUACUAAUGGCUGUGUUGGGUCCUUAAAAUCUCAAGCCGCUAUAAAUUAUUAAAUAGUUCUUGAACACUGAAGGAGAACUACCCAGCACAAAUUCUCUGCAGCUUUUUCAUUCAAAACUUAUUUUUUACCUCCACAUUGGGUCAUUUACUGGUUCCGGAUUCCACUAAAAGUAGUCCCCCUCCCCCCAACAUCCUUUCCCCUCCCCACCCUGCCCCCAGAAUACAAGGGGUUAAACUUAACUCCCCAGGCUUAAUUUCCCAAACAAAAGCCAGUUUUGCAAGUUAUUUUUCAAGGUGUGUCUUUCCAUAAGUUCUAUUUAAUAAAGUUAAUACAUGUUCCUGCUUCCUUUCUUUUUUUCCUUCUUUUUUGUUGUCAGUAUUCACGGAAUCUGGAUCUGUCAGCUACUUCUGUUUGAAGUUGAAGAAUUGGCAAAAUUAUACAUCCAGCAGGCAAGAAAUAAAGUGGAAAUGUCUCACAACUAACAGUGAAAUCUGUUGCGUUGUUUUAAGACUUAACUACUGAGGGGGAAAAAAAAAGCCCUACUAAAUAUUGUCUUGGCAACUAUAAAUAUAUUUUAGCGAUGAUAAAAACCUUUAGAAUAACAGUUCAAAGAUAUCUGAAACCUAAUGCCUGUCUGUCUGCCACUCUUAAUUAUAUAUAUUUACAUUGUAUAUAUAUCCCAUUCUUCAUUAAAUGCUGUGCAAUUUUCCAUUUGA